GAAAAAUAGCUAGCGUUUGUUUUAUUUGGUAUGUAUAUUUGCUACUAUAUCAUAAGACACACGCGGCUAUUUUCA
rnacentral:pre_miRNA from 1 species